UACGGAGGAUCCAAGCGUUAUCCGGAUUUAUUGGGUUUAAAGGGUGCGUAGGCGGCCUGUUAAGUCAGGGGUGAAAGACGGUGGCUCAACCAUCGCAGUGCCUUUGAUACUGACGGGCUUGAAUACACUAGAGGUAGGCGGAAUGUGACAAGUAGCGGUGAAAUGCAUAGAUAUGUCACAGAACACCGAUUGCGAAGGCAGCUUACUAUGGUGUAAUUGACGCUGAGGCACGAAAGCGUGGGGAUCAAACAGG
rnacentral:rRNA from 1 species